ACUCAGUUGGUAGAGUACAAAGCUCUUAACCUUAUGGACAUGGGUUCGAGCCCCAU
rnacentral:tRNA from 1 species